rnacentral:rRNA from 1 species
UACGGGGGGGGCAAGCGUUGUUCGGAAUUACUGGGCGUAAAGGGCUUGUAGGCGGCCAACUAAGUCAGACGUGAAAUCCCUCGGCUUAACCGGGGAACUGCGUCUGAUACUGGAUGGCUAGAGUGUGGGAGAGGGAUGCGGAAUUCCAGGUGUAGCGGUGAAAUGCGUAGAUAUCAGGAGGAACACCGGUGGCGAAGGCGGGUCUCUGGGCAGUAACUGACGCUGAGGAGCGAAAGCGUGGGGAGCGAACAGG